rnacentral:rRNA from 1 species
GUGAGGAAUAUUGGACAAUGGGCGCAAGCCUGAUCCAGCGACGCCGCGUGAGUGAUGAAGGCCUUUGGGUCGUAAAGCUCUGUCAGCAGGGAAGAACGGCCGUGCGGUUAAUACCCGUGCGGAUUGACGGUACCUGCAGAGGAAGCACCGGCUAACUCCGUGCCAGCAGCCGCGGUAAUACGGAGGGUGCGAGCGUUAAUCGGAAUUACUGGGCGUAAAGGGCGCGUAGGCGGCCGAUCAAGUCAGAUGUGAAAGCCCACGGCUUAACCGUGUGAAGUGCAUCUGAAACUGGUUGGCUUGAGUAUCGGAGAGGAAAGUGGAAUUCCCGGUGUAGAGGUGAAAUUCGUAGAUAUCGGGAGGAAUACCGGUGGCGAAGGCGACUUUCUGGACGAAUACUGACGCUGAGGCGCGAAAGCGUGGGGAGCAAACAGGAUUAGAAACCCCAGUAGUCC